CAAAGAAAAUAAACUAGGGAAUAGAAAUAGAAAAAAGAAACAAUGAAAGAAAGUAUAAAAUAACAAAGGAAACAUAAACAGAAAUAAAAGAAAAGACAAGGAAACUGACACACCUGGGAUUCGAAGUGGCGACGUGGUGACAAGAAACAGAGGCGCUGGAAAAUAUUGGAAAAAAGCGAUAUUUCAGUGCUCUGGAGUCUGGAGAGUUGGAAAACCUCUCCCAACUAGCGCCGCUUGAGAACCUCUCCCUGUAACCCUCGAGCUUAGAGCCGGUAAAGCCAUCUCCUUCGUUUCCUCUCUCUCUUUUCAUUUCUCAUAGAACUGAAACCCUAGCUUCUGUCUUCAACCCAUAACGUCAAAACAUGAAUCCAUCUCCAUCUCUGUCAAAAACGGAACCCAGCCAUGGCGAUCUUUGAUUCUAGCCCAGAUUGUCACCAUCGUGCAUUCCUCUGCGAAACCCGAGACUUGGGGAUCCGAGUAAGGCCAGGGGGCAUAGGAACUGCAAGGAGCAAUGGCUCACAAAUGAAGGUGCUGUACACACAGCAAAGAUGGCUGCAAGAACUCGGAUCUACAAAAUGAAAGGUAAAUCAAAUCCCUCCACUGCGUUAAAAUUAAGCAUGGUUUAAUAUCUCUGAAAGUCAUACAGAUUUGUGAAAUGUUUCUGUCAUGCAUUUAUAGACCUAAAAUUUCGUCAAUGCUCAUGUAAUUUUCUGUGUGCUUGCAUGCCUCCAUGUGACAAAUAUUGAGACAAAAACUGUGCAUGACACUGGAUCUGUGACAUGGCUUUGAUGAAUGUCCACCUCUGUGUUGCCUGGACCAACAAUAUUUUAAUGAAAUAUGAGAGUGAGCGAGCGAAAGAUAAAUGUUGCUGAAUGCUCAGAUAAAUGUUGAUGAAUGGAUGACUGAUGAAUGCAUAUUUUUGUAUCUUUAUUGUUUUGUUUACAGAAGAGUAAGGUUUAUGUCCCUCUUCUUUUUCAUGUAUUUUUUAUUUCUUUUUCACGUAUUACGAGAAGUUAGGUUUAUGUCCCCUAAUUAUAUGUAACUUAUUUUAUGUUAUUAAUAAAAUUCUCCUCGUACCGUCAA